GCUUACUUGUUAGAUAUCAUUGCUUUGAUGAUUUAAUCUGAUAAAGAUGAUACACUAGGAUGUAAGUGUACACAGAAAAUUUCCGGUUAGUUUGCACAUGACUGAAUCCUCUCCGUGCAAAAAUUGAUGCUACAUAGUUGGUAGGAAAGUCUGUGAGGGGCUAAAACUGCAGUCUUCCCUUACCGCCCAAUGCAAGUUCCCGGUCUAAUUCUGGAUUAUUAUUGUAGCCUUUAGAUGAAGUGCAUCCAUCAAGUAUAGCACCUAAUUUACGAUGAAGUACAUCCAUCAAGCAAAUUGUUUGACUGUUAAUACAGAGCAAACAUAUUAGAAUAGGUGAUUUUCGAGUCUAUUGGAAAUUGCUCCAAUUAAGUUAAGAUCAACUAAGUUACUAGGGACCUGGAUGCCCUGCAAGAUACACGAGGGGGGCGCUGCUGCUCUUCUCCUCUUUAAUUUCCUUCAACCCCGUCAAGUGAUGAGCAAUUUCGAGUCGUGGCUCUAGGGAACAAGUUGAGCAAGUGCAGCCAUCGUCGAGCUUCAUCACUUCACCAGCAACUCAGGAUACUCGAUGUUUCACGAUUUGUACUACAGAUUUCCUGUUGGUUCGACGAACAUAAUGGAACAAGGCAGAUGAGUGCUCCUCUUCUCUUUCCCCCUCUACAAAAAAUCAGUUCCAAUUGCCGUACAAUUUUCCAAUUGCCGUACAAUUUCCCCAGUACGGCUUUCUGGAUUGGAACUUUCCACUCAUUUGUUGUUCUUUGGCCUACAUCUAGAGGUAAAAUGUUUUCUUGAAUUCAGUGACUACUUGAAGUCUUCAACUCGAGUUGGACAACAUAUGUAAUGUUGAAUUCAGUGAGACAUCGUGAUUUGAUUUCACUUUAUAUGUAGAGUUGAGAUUGUAAUUUGGUUGAAAUUUUACAUCCUUUAUAGAUAUAGACUGCUAUAUAAUGAUUAGAAAACGAGAGACGGUAUGUUUUAUGGAUCAGAAGCGAUACUUGGUCAUGCUCUCACGAUGAGAAAUGCAUGGUUCAUUUACUCAAGUGUCUUAAUUUGCUUCAUGUAGUAAACACAAGAGAGAUUUAACCUGAUAGCCAAAACAUUGACCUAACUAUUCAAACAAUUGUAAUUCCUUGAUGCAGUUACUUUGACGGACCUGAUGAACACUCAUUCUUCUCAUCUUUGUGUUUUGUGAUUUCUUUUGACGCAUGGUAUUGAUGUGUUGUGACAUGAAAUAUGUGUAUUCAUCUAAUUGUUGUUCCUCUUCUAGCCUGCAGGAUCACACCACUCAACCCCCGAGAGCGCCAAAGAGCCGCUUCUCAAAACCUACAAGCCCAAGGGACCUUACACAACCACCAUCGUCUCGGUAGAGCAGGAAGUAGGUCAUAACGCUCUGGGAAAGACGUGCCAUGUCAUCAUCAACCAUGCCGGCAAUGUGACAUACUGUGAGGGGCAGAGCUAUGAGAUUAUUCCUCGGGGCUUGAGAGUGCUUCUGGGCUUGCACGUGAAUGGCGUUGGGUGACGUGCGAUGCUUGGGAGACGCCACCACGAUGAAGGCAUGAACAAGCUGGUCCAUGCAUGGUUCUGGCUGUACCACAGGAAAAUAUGCAUAUAGCCCAGAUGUGGUGAUUUGAAGAUGAAAGGAAGAGCUGAGAAGCUCGAGAGAGCUGGAGGAACAAGGAGAAGCUAAAAGGACAGUAGAAGAUGAGGCACUGGGGAGCUCUUAGACAUACAUUGUUCAACCUUGGUUGCUGAGGAUAAAUGCAAAAGAAAAUCAUCAAGGCUAUCUUGCAUACCAUAGCUAUUUGAGGUUCACGUUGAGGAACGAAGAGCUCAAGAUUUUGUUUUGUUCAUGAAGAUGCAUAAUCAAGAGGAACCACAAGGAUUCCUAAGAACACUUGAGAUGCAGCAACAUCACUUAACCUUUUCAUGUCACCCUAGAUGAUUUAUCAUCCUUGAUUGCCCCUCCCGACAAGGAUUCAUAUCAAGAGUUCAAUACUUGUUGGGGGUUCCUCGCAAUGCACGCACAGAGAGGCAUAACUUCUUUGCUUCCCCCAUCAUCUCUACAAUAAUAUGGCGUGCAUGUGCAAAAAGAAGGAUCUGAUGGUCUACUAAGGGCUUAUAGGAAUGAAGAGCGGCUUAUCUUCUUUACGUGUUUAUCUGGUAAAUAUUCAUCUGUCAGGCAAUACAAAUCGUAUGGUUACAAGUUCAACAACAACAUGGGGAGCACUGGCGUGGUAGUCCGGCGGUAGAGGGAUGGCUGGGCAGCAACCUACCGAGGAGUUGGAGGAAGGGCUUGAUUGGGCCACAUCUGUCCACGAGGGCUCGUUGGUGGACUAAUCAAGAAGGGGGGAGGGGCUGGGUGUAUCUGCGAUGCGCGGUUCCGGCUGGUGUGCUCCUCGGCGGCGUCCGGGACAGGUGGAUGUGUGGGCGGCUGCGUGUGUGCGUGUGCUUCGGCGAUGCGUGAAGAGGACGCGGGGUGGCCAGUGCGGUGCCCUGGUGAGCAGGUGGUUAGAUCCAGACGAAUUUGGCCAUCGUGGCUCGACGUUGGACUUGCUGGUGCAUGUUGUGCGGAGAUCGAGAGGUUGAUCCGGGCGAAAUCUUGUCUCCGGAGUUUCCAAGAGCUGGUGAUGGCGAAGCUUUCGAGUGUUGUUUCCUUCCUAUGGGCAUCACCGAGGUAUUCUCAGCCGCAAUUUAUGCUGCUUCGGAGGAAACUCUAGAUUCAUGUGAUCGGACGAUGACGGUGCUUUGGCAUCAUAUCCCUGGUUUCAUCUUUCGAGCUAUGCAUUAGCAUGCUGGGCCGAUGGAAGAUGGAAGCAGAAUGCAUUUAUAACAA